rnacentral:lncRNA from 1 species
GGUGGUCGUGUGGCCCUAGCGCACCGGAUACAGUGCAGGCGAUUUGGUGUCACGAUAUCUCAGUAGCAUGGUUCGAAUCCGCGAGGGAAGAACAAAAAUUUUGCGAAAGCAAAUUUACAAAUCUUACAUUGUUGGGUAGAUGUUUAGACGAGUUGUAUAUAUAUGCCGCAAUGACCUGUUACAGUACAAAAAGAAGAGGCGCAGCAAAAUAGUUCAUUUGUUUUAACAUACAAUC